AGCGAACGCUGGCGGCGUGCCUAAUACAUGCAAGUCGAACGUGAAAGUCUUCGGAUGAGUAAAGUGGCGCACGGGUGAGAAACGCGUAGGUAAUCUACCUAGAAAUGGGGAAUAACUUUGGGAAACUGAAGCUAAUACCGCAUAAUGUCCGAGAAUCUGUGGAUUUUUUGACUAAAGGGGGCCUCUAUUUAUAAGCUCUCGUUUCUAGAUGAGCCUGCGUACCAUUAGCUAGUUGGUAGGGUAAUGGCCUACCAAGGCUACGAUGGUUAGCUGGUCUGAGAGGAUGACCAGCCACACUGGAACUGGAACACGGUCCAGACUCCUACGGGAGGCAGCAGUAGGGAAUCUUGCACAAUGGACGAAAGUCUGAUGCAGCGACGCCGUGUGGGGGAUGAAGGGUUUUGGCUCGUAAACCCCUGUCAGAUGGGACGAGGGAUUGUACAUCUAAUAUAUGUGCAGUCUGACGGUACCAUCAGAGGAAGCACCGGCUAACUACGUGCCAGCCGCCGCAGUAA
rnacentral:rRNA from 1 species